UUCCAGACUCCUACGGGAGGCAGCAGUGGGGAAUAUUGCACAAUGGGGGAAACCCUGAUGCAGCGACGCCGCGUGAGUGAAGAAGUAUUUCGGUAUGUAAAGCUCUAUCAGCAGGGAAGAAGUUGACGGUACCUGAGUAAGAAGCCCCGGCUAACUACGUGCCAGCAGCCGCGGUAAUACGUAGGAUCCGAGCAUUAUCCGGAGUGACUGGGUGUAAAGAGUUGCGUAGGUGGCAUAAUAAGUAGCUAGUGAAAUCUGGUGGCUCAACCAUUCAGACUAUUAGCUAAACUGUUAAGCUCGAGACCGUUAGGGGUAACUGGAAUUUCUAGUGUAGGAGUGAAAUCCGUAGAUAUUAGAAGGAACACCAAUAGCGUAGGCAGGUUGCUGGGACGGUUCUGACACUAAGGCACGAAAGCGUAGGGAGCAAACGGGAUUAGAUACCCCUGUA
rnacentral:rRNA from 1 species